UACGGAGGGGACUAGCGUUGUUCGGAAUUACUGGGCGGAAAGCGCACGUAGGCGGAUUUGUAAGUCAGGGGUGAAAUCCCGGGGCUCAACCUCGGAACUGCCUUUGAUACUGCAAAUCUCGAGUCCGGAAGAGGUGAGUGGAAUUCCUAGUGUAGAGGUGGAAUUCGUAGAUAUUAGGAAGAACACCAGUGGCGAAGGCGGCUCACUGGUCCGGUACUGACGCUGAGGUGCGAAAGCGUGGGGAGCAAACAGG
rnacentral:rRNA from 1 species